rnacentral:rRNA from 1 species
AGUACGCUAUAGAGUUUGAUCCUGGCUCAGGACGAACGCUGGCGGCGUGCUUAACACAUGCAAGUCGAACGAUGAUCCUGGAGCUUGCUCUGGGGGAUUAGUGGCGAACGGGUGAGUAACACGUGAGUAACCUGCCCUUGACUCUGGGAUGACCUCCGGAAACGGAAGCUAAUACCGGAUAUGACGCACGGAGGCAUCUCCUGUGCGUGGAAAGAAUUUCGGUCAAGGAUGGACUCGCGGCCUAUCAGGUAGUUGGUGAGGUAAUGGCUCACCAAGCCUACGACGGGUAGCCGGCCUGAGAGGGUGACCGGCCACACUGGGACUGAGACACGGCCCAGACUCCUACGGGAGGCAGCAGUGGGGAAUAUUGCACAAUGGGCGAAAGCCUGAUGCAGCAACGCCGCGUGAGGGACGACGGCCUUCGGGUUGUAAACCUCUUUUAGUAGGGAAGAAGCGAAAGUGACGGUACCUGCAGAAAAAGCACCGGCUAACUACGUGCCAGCAGCCGCGGUA